rnacentral:rRNA from 1 species
GCACGGGUGAGUAACGCGUAUCCAACCUGCCCACCACUUGGGGAUAACCUUGCGAAAGUAAGACUAAUACCCAAUGACGUCUCUAGAAGACAUCUGAAAGGGAUUAAAGAUUUAUCGGUGAUGGAUGGGGAUGCGUCUGAUUAGUUUGUUGGCGGGGUAACGGCCCACCAAGACUACGAUGGAUAGGGGUUCUGAGAGGAAGGUCCCCCACAUUGGAACUGAGACACGGUCCAAACUCCUACGGGAGGCAGCAGUGAGGAAUAUUGGUCAAUGGACGAGAGUCUGAACCAGCCAAGUAGCGUGAAGGAUGACUGCCCUAUGGGUUGUAAACUUCUUUUAUAUGGGAAUAAAGUAUUCCACGUGUGGGAUUUUGUAUGUACCAUAUGAAUAAGGAUCGGCUAACUCCGUGCCAGCAGCCGCGGUAAUACGGAGGAUCCGAGCGUUAUCCGGAUUUAUUGGGUUUAAAGGGAGCGUAGGUGGAUUG